rnacentral:rRNA from 1 species
CUGGCUCAGGAUGAACGCUGGCGGCGUGCUUAACACAUGCAAGUCGAACGGAGCCUAUCGAGUGCUUGCACUUGAGAAAGCUUAGUGGCGGACGGGUGAGUAACGCGUGGGUAACCUGCCCUAUACUGGGGGAUAACAGUUGGAAACGACUGCUAAUACCGCAUAAGCCUACAGUGCCGCAUGACACAGUAGGAAAAACUCCGGUGGUAUAGGAUGGACCCGCGUCUGAUUAGCUAGUUGGUGAGGUAACGGCCCACCAAGGCGACGAUCAGUAGCCGGCCUGAGAGGGUGAACGGCCACAUUGGGACUGAGACACGGCCCAAACUCCUACGGGAGGCAGCAGUGGGGAAUAUUGCACAAUGGGGGAAACCCUGAUGCAGCCGACGCCGCGUGAGUGAAGAAGUAUUUCGGUAUGUAAAGCUCUAUCAGCAGGGAAGAUAAUGACGGUACCUGACUAAGAAGCACCGGCUAAAUACGUGCCAGCCGCGGC